AGUUGCUAAAGUUGGACCUAAUGUUUCACCACCUUUUGCUUAUGAGAAUUCAGAAAUAUAUUUGAAAAAUGAAUACAAAAAAAAAUGAAAAAGUAUAUUGCCUCAUUUGAGAAUAUUUGGAACGAGAUGGGAGUUACCAUUAUGUGUAUGGAUGUAGUGGCCCAACUCGAAUGAGUAUUAUAAAUUUUCUUGUGUAUUCAACUAGUGGAACAUUGCUCCACAAAUCAGUUGGUGCAUCAAAUGUUUAACACAAAGAUGAAGAAUAUUACUUCAAGCUUAUAAAAGAGGUGGUUAAAGAAAUUAGUCCCAAAAAAGUUAUGUAAAUAGUAACUAAU
rnacentral:misc_RNA from 1 species